AUUUCCUCCACCCUCCCUCAGUGAGUUGAAGUGGGAAAGAGGCAGUGUUCUGCUGAUCUUUUAAAUUCUUAGUGAAGUUUCCCUGAUUUCCAGUGGCUGCUGCUGUUUGAGUUUGGUUUAGAACAGUGCUGAGGUUAUCCUGACAUUUCUGGGAUCACAUCCAGCGAAAAGGAAGAAGAAGAAAAAGAAAAGAUUGGGGUGAAAAGUGGGGAGAGGAACAGAAGGCUCCAGGAGGCUUCUUUUCUCAACAUUGCAUUCCUGUGUUUUGCCUCAGCCUGGAAAAUAUAUUAAUCCCAGGGCUUUUUCUCUUUGGAAACAAAGGAGCUAAACUAGAGAGUGGGGAGGAAAGGCGUGAUUAGAAGGAGCAUGGAGCUUUGAAAGAGAUUCAGAAACAACUGUGAGUUCAUUUUUAUUAGAUGAAAUGUGCCUCUCUGUGUCUGUGACUGAUAGAGAAACAAAACAGACCUGCAGGUAAAUGGAGCAGCAAAGAUCACAGGGAAAUUUACUUUUGCCUCAUCCCACUUUGUCACAAAGGUGAAGAAAGACAAAAAAGUAAAAGCUCCACAGUGAAUCAACAUUGUCCGGAGUCUGUUUUGUUACAUAAAAGUCAGUGAGCUGCAGCAAAACUCCAUGCAUGGCAUUGCUCUUCCUCUAAAGAAAGGGCUGGAUACACAUAUCUUGACGGGAAACUUUCCUGAGAGGUGGAUCGCACAAUGAACUGGACACCAAUUCUGAGUUUAGCCAUGCUGUGGGCAACGUGGCUAGCGUGCGACUCUGAGAAGACCGUGAGGCUAGCAGACAGAGGGAGCCACGGAAUUAGUAACGUGCCUUUCUCUCACAGGGCUAGCAACAGAUCGCUCUCCUUCCUGAGAAGGUCGGAGGCAUCUCAGGGGAAUUUCCAACGUCCUGUUGCCAAGAGGGAUACUCCAACAUCAAAAAAUGUACGGCCUGACCUGCUGCGAGAUGAAACACCUGCCCAGGCUAGGAAGAUUAAAGCUAGAGUGAGGCAGAUACAGAGACCCACCUCUGCGGCUAAACAGUCUCACCCUGAGAUGAUCAAGGAUGAGGAGAAGUCUGCUGCGUCUCGGUCACGAAUGAUACGUUUCCCUUCAGGAUCCAGUUCUCCUAAUGUCCUGGCUAGCUUUGCCGGUAAGAACAGAGUCUGGGUUAUCUCUGCUCCUCAUGCCUCUGAAGGCUACUACCGGCUCAUGAUGAGCCUGCUUAAGAGCGACGUCUACUGUGAACUGGCCGAGAGGCACAUCCAGCAGAUGGUGUUGUUCCAUGAGGAAGGGGAAGAAGGAGGGAAAGUCAGGAGGAUAACCAGUGAAGGGAAAAUCCUGGAGCAACCUUUAGAUCCCAGCCUCAUCCCUAAACUCAUGAGCUUUCUGAAACUGGAGAAAGGGAAAUUUGGCAUGGUGCUGCUAAAAAAAACCCUACAGGUGGAGGAAAGGUACCCUUACCCGGUAAGGCUAGAAGCCAUGUACGAAGUUAUUGACCAGAGCCCCAUCAGGAAAAUGGAGAAGAUGAGGCAGAAGGGCUUCAUCCAGAAAUGUAAAGCUGCCGGGGUGGAGGGUCAAGUAGUGGAGGAAGUUAACAAUGGAGGCGGCACCAGACCUACAUCGAGUGGUGGACAUGUUCAGCUGUCAGUAAAAAAGGAAGAGCCAAGGAGAAGCAAUGUUCAACCAACAAGGAGCAAAACAGUGAGGAAACUAAUCACAACCACAGUGGCUCCUCCUCCCCCUACAACGCGUGCCAGCACCCUCCCUCCUCCAACCACCACUACCCAGGCAGCCACCCGUACAGUGACAACGCUGAACAGACCUAUGACCACAGCCACAUCCCUUCCAACCACUCUGAAAACUUGGACCACAAAGUCACACACCACGUCCGACUCUCAUAGGCUGCCCACAGUGCCUGAGGCAACUGCCCCACGGGGCACAGACACUGAGGAUUUUUACUCCCCGGUGUGGAAUGAGAACCGCAGAGACAGGCAGUCUGGCCACCCGGAGAGACACCCAGUAGCCACCCGAAGACCUGGCAAAGUUGCUAGCUAUGAUAGCUACACAGAAGCUCCCACCUCUGCCUCCGAGCACUACACAAGGGCCAACACUGGUAGAUUUAAAGACAACCGUACAGACCGGAAGGACUUUAUCCACCGGGAUCCCAGUGUCAUGCCAGGUCAGCACAAACCCGCCAAAGCCAAGCCACCUAAAAAAAGAGUCCAGGAAAAGAUUCUGAGCAAUGAAUAUGAGGACAAAUAUGAACCAAGCAGGCCUGCUGUUCCCCACUUGGAGCAAGAGAUUGCAGCAGGGAAUAUCCCACCAAAGAAGGGAAAAGAGCCAAAAAAGCAUGACCGGCCAGAUAAACCUGAGAAGAAGAAGAAGAAGGAGAGACCCGACAAGCUGCAGAAGAGUGAGAAGCAGGCCAAGAAGAACAAAGCUGAGAAAAAGAACAAGCAGGACAAAGAUCGCAGCAAGAAAAACAAAAAGGGGAGCAGGACUGAGAACGAGGGCUACCUGAAGCCCAACACAAAGACUUUCAUUCAGCCCUCCAGGAAAUCAGUGACAAGCCUCCUGGAUUUUUUUGAAGGCAAACGGCGACUCAUUCUGAUCACGACGCCCAAGGCUGAUAACACCAUGUAUGUGCAACAGCGAGAUGAAUACCUGGAGAGUUUCUGCAAGAUGGCCACAAGGAAAGUCUCAGUCAUCACAAUUUUUGGCACCGUGAACAACAGCAGCAUGAAGAUUGACCACUUUCAGCUAGAUAAUGAGAAACCCAUGAAGGUAGUAGAGGAUGAGGACCUUGUGGACCAGCAACUCAUCAACGAGCUGAGGAAAGAAUAUGGGAUGACCUACAAUGACUUCUUCAUGGUGCUGACGGAUAUCGACAUGAGGGUCAAGCAAUAUUAUGAAGUGCCCAUUGCAAUGAAGUCUAUAUUUGAUUUGAUUGACACCUUCCAGUCACGAAUCAAAGAUAUGGAAAAACAGAAGAGGGACGGUAUUGUCUGCAAAGAUGACAAGAAACAGUCCCUGGAAAACUUCUUAUCCAGGUUCCGAUGGAGGAGGCGGCUGCUGGUGAUCUCUGCUCCCAACGAUGAGGACUGGGCCUAUUCCCAGCAGCUUUCUGCUCUCAGUGGACAGGCCUGUAAUUUUGGUUUGCGCCACAUAACCAUCCUCAAGCUGCUAGGACUUGGAGAAGAGAUCGGUGGGGUCUUAGAAUUAUAUCCCAUCAAUGGAAGCUCCAGUGUGGAGAGAGAAGAUCUCCCUGCUCACCUGGUGAAAGACAUCCGCAAUUAUUUCCAAAUCAGCCCUGAAUAUUUUUCCAUGCUUCUGGUUGGGAAAGAUGGAAACGUCAAAUCCUGGUAUCCUUCCCCAAUGUGGUCCAUGGUGAUCGUCUAUGAUUUGAUUGAUUCUAUGCAGCUCCGGCGACAGGAAAUGGCAAUUCAGCAAUCGCUGGGCAUGCGAUGCCCAGAAGAUGAGUAUGGUGGGUAUGGUUACCAUAGUUAUCACCAGGGAUACCAGGAAGGUUACCAAGAUGACUACCGUCACCAUGAAAGUUACCACCACGGAUACCCAUACUAAAUAGAGCAACUUAACCUUUGGCUGCUGCCUCUUGCCCUCAUCCUAAUAGCUGUUCAAGCCAUAAGUGGCCAGUCAAGAGCCUAAAUAAACAUUGCAUUUGCCUUUUUGAAAAUCCACAAGCCUUUACAAUGAAAUAGUUCAAACCAAUAACACUGAUGCUUUUUUUUUAGCAAUAAAGACUCCUCUGUAUUGUUUAACCCAUGUAAUCAGUGGACAUCACCAGUUGAAGUUUGUUUGCAUUAAACAAAAAUCCUUUCCCUCCCCUCUUGGCCAUGGACCUCAUACUGUAGCCAGGAUACAAACUGUACAAUAGAUAUUGUAAUGCUUUUUUUAUAUUUUUUUCAAGGAGAAAAACAAAGUAUAUUUAUUAGAAAGUGAGAAUUUUGUGUUGUGCGGAUGAACAGAUACAGAAGACCACAUCACAGGACUUCCCCACAGAAGGAGAUUUUAGCAAAGACAUGUGGGGCAUUCUCUCUUUUAUAAUAAUUUUUUAAAAACCUUUUUCACCUACCCUGUUUAAAAAGACUGUAUCUCUUUUAUAAUAGAUCAACUUUGUACUUAGCCGAGUUUCAUCCAUAACAUAACAAAAUGCAAUCGCGUCGCUGAGAAAUUUGAAUUUCAAGCAAAAA